rnacentral:rRNA from 1 species
GGGGGGGGCGGGGGGGGGGCCUGAGACGGGCGAGUCGGGCGGGGGGGCGGGGGGCUUGCUCCUCUGACGUUGGCGGCGGCCGGGUGAGUGACGCGUGGCUAACCUACCUAUAAUACUGGGAUAACUUCGGUCAACCGGAGCUCAUACCGGAUAAUCUAUUGAACCUCAUUGUUCACUCGUUAAAGAUGGUUUUGCUGUCACUUAUAGCUGUAUCCGCGCCGAAGUAGCUAGUUUGUAAGGUAACGGCUUACCAAGGCCACGAUGCGUAGCCGACCUGAGAGGGUGAUCGGACACACUGGAACUGAGACACGGUCCAGACUCCUAAGGGAGGCAGCAGAAGGGAAUCUGCCGCAAUGGGCGAAAGGGUGACGGAGCAACGCCGCGUGAGUGAUGAAGGUCUUCGGAUCGUAAAACUCUGUUAUUAGGGAAGAACAAAUGUGGAAGUAACUAGGCACGUCGUGACGGUAAAGAAGCAGAAAACCACGGAUAACUACGUG